GGAAGAGAGUCGUGUGGGCCCAGGUAUCGUAGCGGCGACACGAGAGAGACGGGCGGUGUGACAGCCUUCCACUACCUGCACGAGUGUAUUGGUCUGUCUGCUAUCAGCUAUGCCGCUGCCCGUUGCGCUGCAGACCCGCUUGGCCAAGAGAGGCAUCCUCAAACAUCUGGAGCCUGAACCAGAGGAAGAGAUCAUUGCCGAGGACUAUGACGAUG
rnacentral:misc_RNA from 1 species